CACGUAGGCACCAAGCGUUGUCCGGAUUUAUUGGGCGUAAAGAGCUCGUAGGCGGUUCGGUAAGUCGGGUGUGAAAACCUAAGGCUCAACCUUGGGCUUGCAGUGGGUACGGGCAGCUAGAGUGCGGUAGGGGUGACUGGAAUUCCUGGUGUAGCGGUGGAAUGCGCAGAUAUCAGGAGGAACACCCGUAGCGAAGGCGGCACUCUGGGCCGAUACUGACACUGAGGAGCGAAAGCGUGGGGAGCGAA
rnacentral:rRNA from 1 species